rnacentral:rRNA from 1 species
UACAGAGACUGCGAGCGUUAUUCGGAUUCACUGGGCGUAAAGGGUGCGCAGGCGGCCAAGUGUGUGAGGCGUGAAAGCCUGGGGCUUAACUCCAGAAUUGCACUUCAAACUACAUGGCUAGAGCAUUGGAGAGGGUAGCAGAAUUCACGGUGUAGCAGUGAAAUGCGUAGAUAUCGUGAGGAAUACCAGAGGCGAAGGCGGCUACCUGGACAAUUGCUGACGCUCAGGCACGAAAGCGUGGGGAGCAAAAGGG